ACACUGUUGAGGAGUCACACAACAGGACGAAACGGCCGUCCAGUGU
rfam:Schistosoma margrebowiei strain Zambia genome assembly, scaffold: SMRZ_contig0005552